rnacentral:rRNA from 1 species
UACGAAGGGGGCUAGCGUUGUUCGGAUUUACUGGGCGUAAAGGGCGCGUAGGCGGCGCGUUAAGUCAGGUGUGAAAUGCCUGGGCUCAACCCAGGACGUGCGCCUGAGACUGGCGGGCUAGAGUCCGGGAGAGGAUGGUGGAACUCCCAGUGUAGAGGUGAAAUUCGUAGAUAUUGGGAAGAACACCCGUGGCGAAGGCGGCCAUCUGGACCGGUACUGACGCUAAGGCGCGACAGCGUGGGGAGCAAACAGG